AGUGAACGCUGGCGGUAGGCCUAACACAUGCAAGUCGAACGGCAGCACAGUAAGAGCUUGCUCUUACGGGUGGCGAGUGGCGGACGGGUGAGGAAUACAUCGGAAUCUACUUUUUCGUGGGGGAUAACGUAGGGAAACUUACGCUAAUACCGCAUACGACCUACGGGUGAAAGCAGGGGAUCUUCGGACCUUGCGCGAUUGAAUGAGCCGAUGCCGGAUUAGCUAGUUGGCGGGGUAAAGGCCAACCUAGGCGCCGAUCCGUAGCUGGUGUGAGUGGAUGGUCAGCGGCACGGGAACUGGAACACGGUCCAGGCGCCUGCGAUACGGCGCAGUGUGGAAUAUUGGGCAAUGGGCGCAAACCUUGCCCAACCGGACCGCGUGGGUUGAGAAGACGUUCGGGUUGUGAAGCCCGUUUGUUGGUAGUGAAAAGCAGCAGGUUAUGACCCCGCUGUUCUGACGGUACUCAGUGAAUAAGCACCGGCUAACUUCGUG
rnacentral:rRNA from 1 species